AGAUUGAACGCUGGCGGCAUGCCUAACACAUGCAAGUCGAGCGGCAGCGCGGGGGCGGACCCUCGGCGGCGAGCGGCGGACGGGUGGAGUAAGGACGAUCGGAAGUACUGCCCUCGAUGUGGGGGAGUAACGUAGGGAAACGUUAACGCUAAUACCGCAUACGACCGAGAGGUGAAAGACGGGGGACCGGAAAGGACCUCGCGCAGCAGGAUGAGCCGAUGUCCGAUUAGCUGGUUGGUGGGGUAACGGGCCCACCAAGGCGGCGAUCGGUAGCUGGUCUGAGAGGACGACCAGCCACACUGGGACGUGAGACACGGCCCACGACUCCUACGGGAGGCAGC
rnacentral:rRNA from 1 species